rnacentral:rRNA from 1 species
UACGUAGGGUGCGAGCGUUGUCCGGAAUUAUUGGGCGUAAAGAGCUCGUAGGCGGUGUGUCACGUCGGCCGUGAAAACCUGCAGCUUAACUGUGGGCGUGCGGUCGAUACGGGCAUCACUGGAGUUCGGCAGGGGAGACUGGAAUUCCUGGUGUAGCGGUGAAAUGCGCAGAUAUCAGGAGGAACACCAACAGCGAAGGCAGAUCUCUGGGACGUUACUGACGCUGAGACGCGAAAGCGUGGGGAGCAAACAGG